AGUGCCAGGGGGUGCCGUUGUGAGGGAUGGACGCCUCUCCCCCGGAGCAGCACUUUGGGGCCAGCUUGGGCCCUGGGGAUGAGCCACAGGGGACCCACAGCCUAUGCGUGUGAGCAUGUAACCCGGGAGCCAGCUGGGCCCCUCGCGGGGUGGGCAGAAGGACGGGCUGGCCCAGGACCCUCUUCUUUGAGACAUCCCGGACUCCAUCUCGGAUGAAAGUGCUUUGAGAAACCACAGAGUUUUCUGUUUAAUGGAAGAAAGAAAUCCAGCCUCUCUCCAGAGUGGCGGUGGCCGGCUAGACAGGCAGGUAUCGCUCCCCUGGGGAACUUGGGUAAGUCCAUAAAUAGCUCUGCUGACACAAAGGAGCUCUGUCUGGGGAAGGCAGCCGCUUGACACGGCCGCCAGGAGCUGCCACAGCCACGGCCGCCCGCCUGCGGGAGGAGCCGGGUGGAAACCUGGGCGGGCGAGCUGGCAGGAGCGGCAGCCAGGAGUCGCCUGGGUCCCUGCUGGAGUAUGCUGGAUGCCAGCGUGACCCCUGACACGUGUGUGCAGCAGCCUGCAGCUGCCCCAAGCCAUGGCUGAACACUGACUCCCAGCUGUGGGGCUUCACCAUUACAGACUCCCCAGGGCUUCAAAGACUUCUCAGCUUCGAGCAUGGCUUUUGGCUGUCA
rnacentral:lncRNA from 1 species